rnacentral:pre_miRNA from 1 species
GGAGUAGAUGGUGUUCAGCACCAAGGACAUGAAUGUUUGACUAUUUGUCGAUGGUGUUCAGCACCAAGGACAGGCAUGUUUGACC